UGAAAUUCCUUCUCCUGGUUCAUCCUGGCUCAAAAGCUCCCCUACUGAGCGCCUUUUGACCCCCACACCUGCUCCCCCUUUGACUGUAAUUUUCCUUUACCUACCCAAAUCUUAUAAGACGGCCCUAUCCCUGUCUCCCUUGGCUGACUCUCUUUUCGGACUCAGCCCGCCUGCACCCAGGUGAAAUAAACAGCCUUGUUGCUCACACAAAGCCUGUUUGGUGGUCUCUUCACACAAACGCGCAUGAAAUUUGGUGCCAUGACUCGGAUCGGGGUACCUCCCUUGGGAGAUCAAUCCCCAGUCCUCCUGCUCUUUGCUCCGUGAGAAAGAUCUACCUAGGACCUCAGGUCCUCAGACUGACCAGCCCAAGGAACAUCUCACCAAUUUCAAAUCUGGUAAGUGGCCUCUUUUUACUCUCUUCUCCAACCUCCCUCACUAUCCCUCAACCUCUUUCUCCUUUCUAUCUUGGCGCCACACUUCAAUCUCUCCCUUCUCUUAAUUUCAAUUCCUUUCAUUUUCUGGUAGAGACAAAGGAGACACAUUUUAUCCGUGGACCCAAAACUCCGGCGCCAGUCACGGACUCGGGGAGGCAGCCUUCCCUUGGUGUUUAAUAAUUGCGGGGGUGCCUCUCUGAUUAUUCACCCACGACCCCACUGAAAAUCGGACUGUUCAACUCAUCUGGCAGCCACUCCCAGAGCCCCUGGAACUCUGGCCCAAGCCUCUCUGACUGACUCCUUCCCAGAUCUUCUCGGCUUAGCAGCUGAAGACUGACACUGCCCAAUCGCCUUGGAAGCCCCCUAGACCAUCACGGAUGCCGAGCUUCGAGUAACUCUCACAGUGGAGGGAACGCGCAUGAAAAAACCAAACAAACAAAAAAAUUUCUUUUGGUAGCAGAAUAAAAAAACAAAAAAAAGGACUUUUUCUUCUGGACUGAACUAUAUUUAAAUCUCAAAGGAUGGACAUCUCACAACCUUCCUACAGCAAGUACUGUGAGCCAUGUAAAGGUGUGCUGCUUUCCCUU
rnacentral:lncRNA from 10 species